GUGGGGAGAGCCCUGGUGCUGCUGCUGCUGCUGCCUGGGUGGAGGAAGCCCUGCUGCAGCUACACAGAGCCCAGCCCCACACCCAGAGCUUCCCAAAACCCCAGCAGUGAGCACGGACACAGCUCAGGCAUCCCACAAGGGCACCUGGUGCCACCCAGACCUUGAGCAGUGCCUUUGCCACCCCUGAGGGUGCCUUGGCAGCCCCAGCUCCCAGUGCCCCAUACCCAGGUCCCUCUGAGUUCAAGCUCAGGCCCUGCCCAAGCUCCUGCCCCGUGUGGCAAAGCAGCAGCAGGAGAAGGAGCAGCCCAAGGACUCUUCCUGGGACUUUUGAUUUUGUUUGGCUCGGAGUUUGUCUUUCAGAAACCACAAACAAGUUCAGCUUCUUCUGUCUGAGCCGGGGAGGUGCCGAGCGAUGGGGAUGUGCCAAAGUCCUCUGUGCUCUCCAGAGCCUUCUGUGGGGGAGAACGGGGCUGUCCCAGAGCCCAGGGACACGGCAAAGACCCGGCACGGUGACCCCAACCCUGCCUGACCCCGGGCAGAGCCUGGGCGGUGAUGGAGGCAGAGAGCUCUGGGGCUGUGAUGGAGGCAGGGAGCUUUGGUGCUCAAGGCAGCUGCCAGGAGGGGCUGCCCGGCCCAAAUCGGCUCCAGCAGCUCCUGGUUUCAGGUUUCCUGGUUUCAGGAACCCAAUUCCACAUAUUGCAGCACGGCACUGACCUCAGCAAGGGCUGUGUCAUAAUCCGUUUUUCAGACUGGCCACAACUUCCAGUGCGAGGCAGAGCUGACAAAGGCAGAAGGGCAAAUCCUGGAGCCCAGCUGGCCGAGGCUGAGGGCGGCCAGGUAGGGAUGAAUGGGGCCAGUGCCCUCCCCCCUGCUCCAAGGACGUGGCAAAGUCGGUGCCUGGCCCCGGGUGAGAGUGGCCUUGAAGGGAACGCUGCAACUAUUCAUGAAUUAACUUUCUGUUAUUAUUUGGUGCUCGGGGAGCUCCUGGCUCUGCAGACCCAGCAGGAACCCCCGGCCUUGCUGGGGCAGAGGGGAGGAGGUGAGCACCCAAACUGCAGCCGUGGAGCUGGGGGAUUACAGCUGGGAAAGAAUUGCUGGUUUGAAUUGCUAAUAAUGAUACAGACUAAUGAGCAACAUCAGAAAUGAUGGCAUGUGCAAUCAGUGCUGCUUGAUGGCAAACACAGAGCGGGGCUGCAGGAGCUGCUGGGGCGAGGGAACAGGAGCAUCCUUCAGAGGGGCAGCACCCACCCCAGGCAGGGCACUGCCAUGGAGCUGGCUCUGGCUACAGGGGAAAGACUUUAUAAAUAAUGAUGGAAAGAGUAACCAGAGACAGACGUCAGCUCUGGGUACACGGAGGGAACACGGCCAGCAAGUGUUGGAGGGGAAAUCACCUUGGUGGGUUCCCAGCAGCCGUGGGAAGCCCAUCUGCCCCUGGCUGUUGGAGGUUUUGUGUCACAGCUGCCCCCCAGCAGCCCCACCGGGGAUCAGGGACACGGGGGAUGGAGCCCCCAGCCAAAUCCUCCUCUGAGAGCCCAGCACCGACUGCUGAUGCUCGGCAGAGAAAGAGCAGCCCGAGUUCUUGGCCAGGUGUGCGGUGAAGGGCAGGGAUGUGUCUGUGCCCCGUCCCUGCCUGAUCCUCCAGCAAGGAACUGCCCGGGGCCGCCCCACUGCUCUGGCGGCUCCAAAGGCAGCGCUUGGCUCCUGCUCCUUUCGCUGGAAUCCCUUUUCCUUGCCUCAUCCCUGCGAUAUGCCCCAGCCAGUCAGCACGAGGCAACAGUUGGAAAUGCUUCCCACUUUCCUUAUUUAGGCUGUUUUAUGUGGUUCAAAUAAGGUGUCCUCUUUGGGCCUGACAAAGAGAAAGAUGUAUCAGUUCAUGAACUGCUGCUGCCUGAGCAAGGUAAGAGACAGAAAAUCACCACCAUUACCAUCAUUAUUGUGAAUCAUGUGCAAUCAGCCCCGUAACAGAAAGCAGAUGAAGAUCCUACAGGAACCUGAAAGACGGGAGCUGCUGCUGAGCCACGGGAGCCAGGGGCCAGGCAGUGAUUAAAAUGCUUUUAAUAUUGGUUUUCAGUGUUGUUUCACUUUAUAUAUAUAUAUAUAUAUAUAUAUAUAUAUAUUUAUUUAUUUAUUUAUUUAUUUAUACACA
rnacentral:lncRNA from 1 species